GACUCUGCGGGAGACUUACAAAUAAUGUUAGAUGUGGUAGGGGGCUAUGGAAGAAAUUUUGGUGUUAGAUUUUGUAGUGAGAAGAGCAAGAUUAUGAUAGUCAAUAGGUCAGAGGAUGAGAGAGAAACAACUUGGAGACUGGAAGGGAAUUCGAGUUGGAACAGACGGAAGAAUACAAGUAUCUAGGGGUGUCGAUGGAGGUAAAUGGAUGCGGCAGGGCCAAGAAUGUAAAGAUAAGUUUGACAAACCAGUGGGUAGGCCGUUUAGGGAGUGCAGCGAGGAUGAGAGCGAGCAAGUAUGAUGUCAUCCGUGAGGUUUGGAAGAGUGUGGCUGUCCCGAGCAUUAUGUAUGGAAUGGAUGUGAUGACAUGGAAUGACAGUGAGAUAGAAAAAUUGGAAGUGGGGCAGAAUAGGGUAGCAAGAAUGGCACUGAAUGCACCAAGGUUUGCAGCAGUAGAGGCUCUUAGGGGGGACAUGGGAUGGAGCACGUUUAGGGAAAGACUAGUAAAGGCAACCUUGAGAUAUAAAGUGAGACUGGAACAAAUGGAGGAUGCAAGAUUAGCAAGGAAAGUAUACUUGUGGAGUAUAAGAGAUGGCAAAUGGGCGAAUAAAUGUGGGCGAAUGAUAGACAGGAAUGUUAUGCUAAGUAGGUGGGUGUACCGACCCUUUGAAGAUAGACAGAAUGUGUUUGAAUGGAGAAUAACAAACAGAAAUGGAGAGGGGUUUGAGUGGGAUGUAAGAAAGUGGAAGAAUGUGAUAGAUAUGGCAGUUAAAGAUGAGGGAUUGAGCAAGUGGAAGAAUGAGAUGGAAAGAAAGGAAACUCGACUGGUAUAGGGAGAAAGAGGCCCCAAAGUGUGAGGUGUGGUAUGAGGGAAGCCUUGGAGAUGAUCUUUUCCGUGCUAGAGCGCAGUGUCUGGAUGUGAAUGCAAGGAACUAUAGAUGGUCUGAGUCCCGCAGCAAAAGACGAGUGGACGAGUGAUUGAGGCAGUGAAAGAGUUCUUGGAGGGCAUGUGGCGUGAAAGAUGUAGGGAAUGAUAUCUUGCCCCGAGAACAUUGACUUCCCGCAUGUUUUGUUUUCUUUUCACAGGAGCUGCCGAUAUAAAGGCCUGGCUGGGGAUGCUUACCUAUGCUUACCUAUGAAUGGAUAGUGGGGGAAUAAGAAGUGACUUCUUUUGGUGUUCCCCACCUCUAAGACCUGUUAGCCUCAUGCCCCUGAUCCAAGUGCCUGUCAUACCGCGAUUUGAAACUGGCUAUUGAAGGGGCAGAUACCACAUUAUCUGAGAGCUUAUUCCACGGGUCUAUAACUCUAAUGGCAAACCAGUUUCCCUUCAUGGUGGUUCGCCAAUGGUCUGGUUUACUCAGCUUGUAGGAGUGGCCCCGCAGUCGGUGAGUGUUGCGUUGAAAGAAUCUGGUGAGGGGGACGUCCUCG